UAGCUCAGUUGGUUAGAGCACCACCUUGACAUGGUGGGGGUCGAUGGUUCGAGUCC
rnacentral:tRNA from 1 species